rnacentral:lncRNA from 1 species
AUCAGGUACCUAUGUGAAGAUUGCUCAGAGCUGGAGUUGGGGCCAGAUAGCUCAGGGGGCCCCUUCCAAGGUUAUCAGCUCUGAUGAGGUGUCCAAAUGUAAAACACGUGAGUGCAGAGACACAGCAGUGAAACUGUUCUUGACUCAACACAGCAUCUUUGCAAUCAUUUACAGGACUGUUGUGCUGGAGAGGCUCUAAUGCCUCCUUUCCUCUCAGUCACAACGCUGUUUUUCCUUUUUCCUAAGGCUUUUCUUUGCUUGAAUUUUCGUCCUGGCUGGAUAUAAAGCUGCCUUGUGACCUUGCAGGAUAUGUUGCAUGUAGUCCCUGCAGCUGGUGGUCAAAUGGGUCCUGUCACAUCUGAAAAACAGAUGGGCUGGUGGUGCAAACUGUGGAAGAUGGUUUUUCCAGGAGGCUUUGUGUGGGGUUGUGUUUAAUUUUGUGGUCUUUGUUCUCAUGCAGGGAUGAAGUCCAUCAGAUGCUAUAGACUCUGGCUGAGAGUGAUGACAUGCCCUUGGAAACCUCUCAUCACCCUCUAGCAUGACAGCCAGGUCCUGCCUCCAAAACAAGCCCACCUUGCUCCCUUUGAGCCACCACCACGCAGCAGCUGCUGAUUUGUCAUUUGCCUUCUCAAAACUAUCUCCUGAUAUGGAAACAGUUCAUCAUUGCCUGUAACCAGCAGGAACACCAGCAGGAACACCAGGUCCUGCCAGCAUCUCUUUUGAGCAUCAAGGUAAGUGGGUCUGGGACAGUUCUAUCUGGGGUAGGACAUUACUACUGAUGUUGUACUAGAACUGCUGCUUGCCUGCUGCUGCUGUGCCAUGAGGCCAGGAAAAGCACUCCCAGACAGGCCGACCUUCCAAGGUGUGUUAUAAAUGGGGUAAAA